rnacentral:rRNA from 1 species
CCUACGGGGGGCUGCAGUAGGGAAUCUUCCACAAUGGACGAAAGUCUGAUGGAGCAACGCCGCGUGAGUGAAGAAGGGUUUCGGCUCGUAAAACUCUGUUGUUAAAGAAGAACAUAUCUGAGAGUAACUGUUCAGGUAUUGACGGUAUUUAACCAGAAAGCCACGGCUAACUACGUGCCAGCAGCCGCGGUAAUACGUAGGUGGCAAGCGUUGUCCGGAUUUAUUGGGCGUAAAGCGAGCGCAGGCGGUUUUUUAAGUCU